rnacentral:lncRNA from 1 species
GUAAGAUCCUGUCAUGUUUUUCCAUUCAAGUUAAGUUAGCAUCAUGCUACAAAGAUGAAUAAGGACUGUACCAUAUCAACUUCCAAUAGCAUGGAGAGAAGUUCCAUCCACAUUACCUGUUUUGUGGGUAUCAUCAAAUACUGCUCCAGCUGACGAACUAAAGACAUAACAUUACUGGUCUGAUAGUGAUAAAUCCAUAAUGCGAAGAGAGGUGAGGUCCUGAUUUUGAAAGAAAUGUCUUCACCCUUCAAAGCCAUUGUGAUUUAGGAAGAGGUUAUCCUCUCAGUGAUCUCCCACAGGGAAAAGUUCCCACACUGUGAAGCUUCCUGACCUGAGGAGGGGACAUCCCCGUGAGUUGUUUGCAGACAAUGGCCCUGGCAGUAGACCACAUCUGUCCCUGAUCAGCAUACACUAGUCUUCCCCUGACCUGAGUUACCUUCACUCAUCUGCAAAGGGACAAGGAAGAGUUCAGCUUUAUCUAAGAGCUUUCCAAAACUUCAGUUCAUUCUUUUACAUGAGUCUGAAUCAAAUCUGUUCUGAGCUUUCAGGAAUGUAAGUGUCAUAGUGAAUCUUUUUCAAAAUGUGGAAUAUGUCAAUUUGCUAUCCUACAUUUCCUAGUUUCAGAAAGAAACGGGCAUAGAUAUGGUUGAAAACCAACGGAAGCUGUCAUGACAAUAUUUUCAGGCUGGUUAAAUACAGGAAAUAUCAA